rnacentral:tRNA from 1 species
GGGGUUGUGGCUCAGUGGUAGAGCACUCGCCUAGCAUGUGUGAGGCCCUGGGUUCAAUCCUCAGCACCACA